GACGAACGCUGGCGGCGUGCCUAAUACAUGCAAGUUGAGCGAUGAAGCUUGGUGCUUGCACCAAUUUGAAGAGCAGCGAACGGGUGAGUAACGCGUGGGGAAUCUGCCUUUGAGCGGGGGACAACAUUUGGAAACGAAUGCUAAUACCGCAUAAUAACUUUAAACAUAAGUUUUAAGUUUGAAAGAUGCAAUUGCAUCACUCAAAGAUGAUCCCGCGUUGUAUUAGCUAGUUGGUGAGGUAAAGGCUCACCAAGGCGAUGAUACAUAGCCGACCUGAGAGGGUGAUCGGCCACAUUGGGACUGAGACACGGCCCAAACUCCUACGGGAGGCAGCAGUAGGGAAUCUUCGGCAAUGGACGAAAGUCUGACCGAGCAACGCCGCGUGAGUGAAGAAGGUUUUCGGAUCGUAAAACUCUGUUGGUAGAGAAGAACGUUGGUGAGAGUGGAAAGCUCAUCAAGUGACGGUAACUACCCAGAAAGGGACGGGUAACUACGUG
rnacentral:rRNA from 1 species